UACGUAGGGUGCGAGCGUUGUCCGGAAUUAUUGGGCGUAAAGAGCUUGUAGGCGGUUUGUCGCGUCUGCUGUGAAAAUCCGGGGCUCAACCCCGGACUUGCAGUGGGUACGGGCAGACUUGAGUGCUGUAGGGGAGACUGGGAAUUCCUGGUGUAGCGGUGAAAUGCGCAGAUAUCAGGAGGAACACCAAUGGCGAAGGCAGGUCUCUGGGCAGUUACUGACGCUGAGGAGCGAAAGCAUGGGUAGCGAACAGGAUUAGAUA
rnacentral:rRNA from 1 species